AAAUCAAAGAUAAUGCCGAUGUGGGUUGGCUUGUGGAUUUUGUCGCUUCCGAGAUUUGAAGAAAUUUUUUUGCUGAUAUCACUAUCAGCUGCUCGUACUCAAAACGGGUGUUCCCUAACUGAAAUCAGAUGUUGCGCGCGAAAUUUGGAAAAUGAUGAAACCCAUAAGCCAAGCCAUAUCAGCCUUAUGUUUCCUCUUUAAAUACCUCGUAAGUUUCUUAUGAAAGUUUUCUCAUACCACUUUUUAUUUUUCAAACAUUCGCCUGAGACGAUAAAAACCGAUCACUUUGUAUAACGAUUAUACAUGGACCACACGACCUGUCAAACUAUCUUCCCUGUCCUAUCUGAUCCACUACAAAAAAGAUAUAAUAACAUUCAAUGAAACUUGAUGCGGUGACAGUCCAAAUUACUCAGAGAUAAGGACAAUCUGCAACAACACACUCUGUAUAUAUUAAGUGUUUACAGUAUACGAUUCAUUUAUCAUGUAUAAAUAAUUAUGAAAUUCUUGCACUGUGCAACAAUAUUAUGACGUAUAAAUUUCUUCGACAGAUUUCGAACCUCCAAUAACCGGCUAGUGACAAUAAUUGAGGGGAUAAACGAAUUUGUAGGGACACGGGAAGAAUAGUUUCAUAAGCCGAUUCAUCGUCAGUUCGAUUUCAAUCGCUGCGUAAAAUUUCAUUAGAUGCUUGUCGUAUGUGCCGUCGGUGCUUUUCAAGAAUCGUCACGGUCAAUUCACACGCUACAAAGAAGCAUCAAGGUGCACCAGCUUGUGUGUAUGCGGAUACAUACAAUGCAUGUAGAUAUCCCCGCAUGGGGCUUUUUUCGUCCACUCAAUUAAUUCCUGAAUCGCUACGCAUGAAUAUGGAACGGAGAACCAAGGAACUAGGUGCGAAGAGACAAAGAUCGAGAACAAUCGCGGAGGGGAUUCUCGUUAUGUCCCACGAUAGAAUGAUCGAAACAUGGAGCGAAUAAAAUCGCUCGGCUGUACCCGAAAUGUGUAAUAAUCUCACGGAGACGUCGAAAAUUUGGACUAACCCCUGUCGUUCGAGCACUCUCAGUUUAAACGCACCAAGCAUAACUGCUGCACCGCACCUGGGAUGAACUGGGAAUAUAACCAACUUAUAGAAGAUUGUCGAGGGCGACUGCAUCGUCGGCGAGGAAUCACAACGCGUCUAGCCUACGACUAACUCGGUCCUGAGCUUCCGGAUGAGGGAGAAGAGUCUUUAAGGUGAAUCUUGGCCGGACCAAAGACAGCAGAAAAUCUCCGCAUAACUUGAUAGUUUAAAACCGGGCGACCUGGGCGUCGACCGCUGGUCACAGGGGAUCCGGAAGAUGAUGCCAUUCGGCAGAGCUGCUCGGCGCGUUCGACACCAGCACCGGAAACGGAACCCGCGAUCGAGGAGUGCAAUACUGGUUAAAAGCUGUGUGAAGGCCCGGUGGAACUUUCUUCGAUGUAUGAUAAUCUAGCCGAUGAAAAACUUAUAAAACUGCAGUCACUUUUCGUUAUUACGCGGUAUUCAAGCUCCUGAAAACGGUCCGAACCUACGGUAGGUUCCGCUAUCACACGCAGCUGCAUAAAUCGUCAGUACAACAGUCGAUGCGAACUUCGAACCGCACUCAGGUGGCGGCUUAAAUCGGCGACAGAUUGUUCCUAGCGCGAUUUCGGGAAUUCGAUCCCGCAGCCGAACUCGCGGUUCGAAUUUUGUACCCGAGGGUAAGACUUGGCGUAUUUCUGGCGAUUACGGUGAGAAUAGCGGGUAUCUGAAAAUUCGGUUCCGUAAUUUGUGUGCCGGCAGGUUGGCGGCAAACAAUAAGAUUCGAUCACGCACUACCAUGACGAAAUUGUACAAUUGCGGCCACACCGUAAUAAAAUACGACCGAAUCAUCGACGCAACGCACAGGCUCAAGUCCAUAGAAUACUCACGUUCUUUUCUUCCUCCCUGAUUCGCAAGGACAUGGCGAGUUGCGAUGGUGAUCGACUAGUUUGGAAUUAUUUCUGUAGGUAUAACCAACAGCAGCGGAUGCAACGAUGCCGAUUGGACCGGAAGCGAAUCGCGGACGAUCAGCGAUGACAGAAGCAAGUUUUCCAGGUGUUUAAGAUCUGUUACUGCCGCACAAGUUCCGAAUUCCAAGGACCCAUUUCCGCAUAAAGUUGCCCACCAAGCGUCAGGGUAUCGUGUAAGAUCGUUUUCCGUUUUGACAAUCAGGGACGCUGGCUCCUAGACCUCGGUCACACCAGCGAACGAGUGGGCCGUCCAUCGCUGUACGAACCUCACCUGUGUGGAGAACAUCUCGUUCCCUGCAAAGGAAACCGUGGAAAAGCCACGAAUGUCCUCCUACAGUUACGAGGGAAAACUUGUUUGUUCCCGCAAGCGACUUAUAACUAUACGAAACGCGCGUCAGUUAUUGCGAUUCAUCGGAAUUCUUACAGGUUAUUCCAUUGGUUUUCAGAAGAACAUCGCGAGUCGCUCAUUACAAUUAUUUGAGGGAUCGAAAUUUUCAACGGACCCGAGUUGAGAAUAUCCAACACUACGGGGCACGAAGCGAUGGCAGAUAAUCACUUAGAUUAGAACUCUUUUUCGGGAUUACACGCGAGUGCUGAGGACAUGUUCGAAAACCUUUCAAUGCGUCACAUUACAACGAGUACGAAUCAAAUUCUGAACCGAUCUUAAUAAACCAACAGCAUCCGACGACCCCCUGGCUGGCUUCGGGUGUAAAAAAAGACGGGCCGUUUGGAAAGGACGCGAAGUUAACAUCUACAACGUCAUCCUGUUUUCAUAACAUAGGUAUAUGCGAUAAAGUUCUAGCCCCAGCUUAUAGAUAUUAUACGAUUGAGAAUUAACCAUUAUACCACGUAUUGAAUACACAGUGUGUACAUGUAUGGUCCGUGUAUUCCUUCACUUUUUCAUACACGGCCGGUGUCGUGUAUUAUAAAUGAAUCGCCUUUAAUUGUGAAUAUUCAUCGACUCCAGAAUCAGCGCAGUGACUAUUAAUGCUGAGAAUUAGCUGUAAAAGAUUUGCGAGCGACCUGAAAAUUUACAGACCAUGAUUCCUAAAAAUUAUACAGUAGAGUCCAAUUAGAUGCGCUCGAAAGGCCAUCGCCUGUUGCAGAUUAAAUUAAUUCGUGCUAAGGCCGCGCAUUUGUUGUUUAAUUGGUAUUAACGACACACGUAUGAUUUCUUAACAGAAUAUACCUAAUCCUAUCCUCUCGAUCAUAGACCGUGCGGCAUAUUACUGUUAUACUCGAGUGAAAUUUUCCGAGUAAAUCAAUUAAAUCACGGUCCUGCGUUCAAUCAUCACAACGUAUUAUACCUGUGACGUUUGAACGGUCAUGGUCAUUGUGGAUGUAUUAUAAUG